rnacentral:rRNA from 1 species
UUUGGCCUACGGAGCGCAGCAGUGAGGAAUAUUGGUCAAUGGUCGGGAGACUGAACCAGCCAAGCCGCGUGAGGGAUGAAGGUACAGAGUAUCGUAAACCUCUUUUGUCAGGGAACAAAGUCGGGGACGUGUCCCCGGAUGAGUGUACCUGAAGAAAAAGCAUCGGCUAACUCCGUGCCAGCAGCCGCGGUAAUACGUAGGGGGCAAGCGUUAUCCGGAUUUACUGGGUGUAAAGGGAGCGUAGACGGUUAUGUAAGUCUGGAGUGAAAGCCCGGGGCCCAACCCCGGGACUGCUUUGGAAACUG